GCCACGGCUAAUCAUUGAUGGUGUUUGCACAAAGCUACAUUUUUCAGCACCCUACUCUUUAAAGGAAUUCACACCGCACCGUGUGGAAAUGAGAUGCACUCCGACAUCACUUAUUUGUAAUUUUGUAUUGACGCACAGAUAGACCAUAGAAUAGGGGAGACAAGCUAUGAACCACACUUUUCUGAAGAAAGAUUGACGACAGAAGCUACUCCCAAGAUGACGGUGCUCCAUGCUCCGGUUGGAGUGAGGAGCAUCGUGAGCUUCCUAGUGGCCUUCUUCAUCGUUGCCAGCUCCAUCGUCUUCCUCUUCGACAGAGGUCAGGAAGCGCAGGUGCAAAUGGUGGUCGAUCAUGGACACCAAGAAGUGAAGGAGAAGGCGGAAGCUGGGCUCCUUGGAGGGUCAACUGAGGCCGCCGACACCAGCAAGGAGGAGUGCAACUGGUCAAGGGGGCAGUGGGUUUACGACAAUGUGUCCCAGCCAUUGUACUCCGGGCUCAAGUGCACCUUCAUCUUCCCUGAGGUGGCUUGUGAAAAGUAUGGCAGGAAGGAUUCCAUGUACCAGCACUGGAGAUGGCAGCCUCAUGGAUGCGACAUUCCAAGAUUCGAUGCCAUCAGGUUGCUUGAAAGGCUGAGGAACAAGAGAUUAGUGUUUGUGGGUGACUCGGUGAACAGGAACCAAUGGGUUUCCCUGGUGUGCAUGGUGGAGGCUUCAAUACCUGAUGACAGGCUCAAGACGCGCAUCUUCAAUGGCUCUCUCAUCUCCUUCAAGGCACUGGAAUACAAUGCAACGAUAGAUUUCUACUGGUCACCGUUGCUGGUGGAGUCCAACAGCGACAACCCCAUUAUCCACCGGGUGGACUACCGGAUCAUAAGGGCUGACAGAAUCGAGAAGCAUGCCAGUGUCUGGAGGGAUGCUGACAUCAUUGUCUUCAAUUCUUAUCUAUGGUGGAGGAAGCAGAAUGAUGACAUGAGGAUGAAGGUCAUGUAUGGUUCAUUUGAAGAUGGUGAUGCCAGGUUAGAUGAAAUGGAAAUGAUGGACGGAUUCGAGGUAGCUAUUAAGAAACUAACGGAAUGGCUUGGUGAGUAUAUUGACAAGAACAAGACUAGAAUCUUUUUCGCGGGAUCAUCACCAACACAUUUCCGGGCUAGCAACUGGGGUGGGGAAGACAGCAACAAGUGUCUGAAUGAAACAGAACCGAUCUACAGAGUCGGAUACAAAUCCGCAGAUUACAGCUUGAUGGCCAUGGCGAAGUCGUAUUUUGAGAGAUUAGAGGCAAAAGGUAUACAUGUUGAGAUACUGAACAUCACAGAGCUGUCUGACUACCGCAAGGAUGGGCAUCCGACGGUGUUCAGGAAACAAUAUGUUGCUCUGACGAAAGAGCAGAUUGCGAAGCCAGCCAGCUACGCGGAUUGCACGCAUUGGUGCCUCCCCGGCGUUCCUGAUGUCUGGAACCAGUUCUUAUACGGCUACCUCAUCAUGUACAAAUGACAAAAAUAUAUAUACCACUGCACAUCUAGAGAUAAUUCAAUUAGGGUGCUCCAGUUUGUUUUGCAGACGCUGCUGGUGAGGGUCAGCGAUAAUGUGACCGCAGGCAUUUGUACUCAUGUGCAUGUGUGCACAGUAGGAUGGGAUCCCUGAGUUUGUUCGUCGACAACUGGACAUGAAGCAUCACGAAAGCCUUUUUCAAAUGCACGCCCAAGUUGCAUCACUCUGCCACAUCCAAAUGGAUCGGAAGACCUGAUCGAGUACCUCAGUCCCUCACCUACUAGAUUCCUAAGCUUUCUGUAAGAUCGACGUGUGUCCUACUUUGCUCUGCUGGGUUGCACAAGGCCUUGGCCUUGUUUGCUUCACGCUAGGGUUUCCAGUGCACACAAGUCGAGAAAAGAAUCUCACAUGUAUGGAGUAGUAAAUAAAGUAUAUUUGUAAAACUUUUUUAGGGAUGAGUAUAAUUUUUCGCGACGAAUCUAA